AUAACUACUGGAAACGGUAGCUAAUACCGCAUAACGUCGCAAGACCAAAGAGGGGGACCUUCGGGCCUCUUGCCAUCGGAUGUGCCCAGAUGGGAUUAGCUAGUAGGUGGGGUAACGGCUCACCUAGGCGACGAUCCCUAGCUGGUCUGAGAGGAUGACCAGCCACACUGGAACUGAGACACGGUCCAGACUCCUACGGGAGGCAGCAGUGGGGAAUAUUGCACAAUGGGCGCAAGCCUGAUGCCAUGCCGCGUGUAUGAAGAAGGCCUUCGGGUUGUAAAGUACUUUCAGCGAGGAGGAAGGCGUUGUGGUUAAUAACCGCAGCGAUUGACGUUACUCGCAGAAGAAGCACCGGCUAACUCCGUGCCAGCAGCCGCGGUAAUACGGGUGCAAGCGUUAAUCGGAAUUACUGGGCGUAAAGCGCACGCAGGCGGUCUGUCAAGUCGGAUGUGAAAUCCCCGGGCUCAACCUGGGAACUGCAUCCGAAACUGGCAGGCUAGAGUCUUGUAGAGGGGGGUAGAAUUCCAGGUGUAGCGGUGAAAUGCGUAGAGAUCUGGAGGAAUACCGGUGGCGAAGGCGGCCCCCUGGACAAAGACUGCUCAGGUGCGAAAGCGUGGGGAGCAAACAGGAUUAGAUACCCUGGUAGUCCACGCCGUAAACGAUGUCGACUUGGAGGUUGUGCCCUUGAGGCGUGGCUUCCGGAGCUAACGCGUUAAGUCGACCGCCUGGGGAGUACGGCCGCAAGGUUAAAACUCAAAUGAAUUGACGGGGGCCCGCACAAGCGGUGGAGCAUGUGGUUUAAUUCGAUGCAACGCGAAGAACCUUACCUACUCUUGACAUCCAGAGAACUUAGCAGAGAUGCUUUGGUGCCUUCGGGAACUCUGAGACAGGUGCUGCAUGGCUGUCGUCAGCUCGUGUUGUGAAAUGUUGGGUUAA
rnacentral:rRNA from 1 species